AAUUCAAGUUACUCUAAUAUUACAUUAUUGAUACAAUAAAGUAUAUUCAUAGGUUGCUAGGUAGAAAAUAGGUUACUCUCUUCUUUUUGCAGAUGGUGAAACUGAGGCUCAGGGAUUCAAGAAAAUUGUGCAAUUUGACAUCAGAAAUCAGGGUGAAGACGCCUGAGGAAGGUUUCUCAGUCACCCUGAGACCGGCUACUUUUGAAGAGUUAAAUCGGAAGGAAAACGCAGUUUGGAAGACGGUGUUUUACAAAAAAAUAGAAAAGAAACUGCUUGAUUUAUGUGAUCUGGCAAAAGGGAGGCUGCAUCAUGAAUCAAAAGCCAGUGUUCAGGAAACAAAAGAUUGAGAAUGAGGCAGGAAGGAAGAAGGAAAGAAGAAAGGAAGAAAGGAAGGUAGGAAGAAAACAAAGGGAAGAAAAAAGAGAAAGGGCCGGGCGCGGUGGCUCAAGCCGGUAAUCCCAGCACUUUGGGAGGCCGAGACGGGCGGAUCACGAGGUCAGGAGAUCGAGACCAUCCUGGCGAACACGGUGAAACCCUGUCUCUACUAAAAAAAUACAACAACAACAAAAAAAACUAGCCGGGCGAGGUGGCGGGUGCCUGUAGUCCCAGCUACUCAGGAGGCUGAGGCAGGAGAAUGGCGUAAACUUGGGAGGCAGAGCUUGCAGUGAGCUGAGAUCUGGCCACUGCACUCCAGCCUGGGCGACAGAGCGAGACUCCGUCUCAAAAAAAAAAAAAAAAAAGAAAAAAGAGAAAGGAAAGGUGAAUGAACCAUAAAUAAACCAUAGUUUGAGUUCCCGGAGGAUAAGUAA
rnacentral:lncRNA from 1 species